rnacentral:rRNA from 1 species
UACGGGGGGGGCAAGCGUUGUUCGGAAUUACUGGGCGUAAAGGGCUCGUAGGCGGCCAACUAAGUCAGACGUGAAAUCCCUCGGCUUAACCGGGGAACUGCGUCUGAUACUGGUGAGCUUGAGUGCAGGAGAGGAACGCGGAAUUCCAGGUGUAGCGGUGAAAUGCGUAGAUAUCUGGAGGAACACCAAUGGCGAAGGCAGCUCGCUGGGACGUGACUGACGCUGAGACGCGAAAGCGUGGGGAGCAAACAGG